rnacentral:lncRNA from 1 species
GCUGAGGCUGGUGCAGUUGCCAUACGUGCACCAGACGUGUUUCCACUGCUCCAUGCCAUUGUUGCUGGGGCAGCUCAGGUUGGGCCAGUACGCGAACAGGUCCUCGAUCAGAUCCACCAGCUGUUCGCGUUCCCCAUUAAUUCCACCCACGUCAAACAACAACUCCAUCAUCAUCAAUCGCCAUGCAUCGAGCUAAUUAAAAGAGGACUCACCGGAUUGAUCAAGAAGCGGCAGUGGCUGUUGCAGUUGGUGAUGGGGUUGCCGGUGCUGCUGUCGUACGUCUCCAACGACUGCACAAGGAAGUCCGCCGCCGGCUCUCCCGUCGUCGGUAUGCAGCAAUUCUCCCCCAGGUUCACGCUUUGGCAGUAACCCCCUGGCCACUGCAAGCAACCACACAGAUUUCAUGCAACACACACAGUGCAGAGUAACUCCACCACGUAUUGAUUGACUUGGCUUCUUAUACCAGUAGGUUCAAGUAAAGCAAGUCGGGCGUGGAAGCCGCCGCUGCCGAAGAGUAACACAGGCACAAGAUCAGGCCAAGGAAGCAGAGCCGAGGAAGCGCCUCGUUCGAUCCAGCCAUUCUCGCAAGCAGGAAGCUUAAUGGGUCUGCGAAUGAGCGAGAGCAGGAAGCUGUAUUUAAAGCAUGUCCGGUGCAUGAAUUGAGGAUAUAAACAAUAAAAUAAUUAUCAGAGGAGGAAGCGCAUGUUUUCAUCGUGCUUGGGUACGACGUUGUCUGGGUCCCUCGAUCAAUAAUUGGUGUGGAGACAGAGAGUACUCUUAUUCAUAUUUUCAACAGCACAGACAUCCAAGGAACAGUCAAUGUUGUCUUUUGAAUCAGUGAGAAGACGAGAGAGAGGACAUGGGACGAGGACACCCGACGGUCUUGGCGGUGGCUGAAAUGGCUGGUUGGUGGAUGCGGCGGAACAGGGGAGUCCCCCGCAUGCACGUGUUUCACGUUGGAUUACGUAUUUGUGGUGGGCGAGAGGAUAAUAUCAUAAAAGAAAAGAGAAGGCCAUUUGGGAGAAGUGAUUCCAUGUCUUCGUUUAUUGGGCAUUGUGACUUCAUGGCAGCAACUCGUUGAUGUGUACUUUGAGAUAAUAGAUCAUACUAUUACAGUGCUAGGGAUCAAGCUUCUUCGAGCGAGUAAAUCUCUGCUCUACUCCAUGAAUAAUAGAUCAUACUAUUACAGUGCUAGGGAUCAAGCUUUAUUUCAUCAUCGAAAACUCUCUCAUCAAUCUGCACAAUCGAUUGUGACAUCACCUUCUUUCUCGCUGACCCACCCCAAUUAGGAUUGCUACUUACUCAUCGAUGUCUUCUCUUGUUAUUGGAUAUAAUCGGUGUCAUCCUCCAUUUUUUGCAACAAUCAUAAUUGUCUCAACAUCAAGUAUAGUAUAAGCAAAGUCCUCUUCUUCAACUUGUGGUAUCUCUUGUGAUCACUUGUAUGAUUCAUCACCUCUCUUUCUUAGUCAUUAUUGAUCAUCAAUAUGUAUUCUUCCUCAAGGAUGAGGCUGUCCUCGUUCUUCGCCAGCAGCUUCUUCCCACGAGAUCCACGUUGGUUGCAGAUUUCUCUCUUCGAUAUGAUUCCCAUUAAUGGCGUGUUAUUACCUAUCUACAGUGCCAUUUGACGUUAUUACGUGUUGAUUCUUCACUCUUCUUCCCCAUUAUUUCUACAACUAACAAUUGACUCGAUAAUAAUGACGCACUGUUGAAACAUUUAUUAUAAUUAAAGAAGAACGUUCUCUGAAUUAUUAUUAUUUUGUUUUAAAAAAUACUUUAUUUCUACCUAAUUAAUCAAUUAUUUAAAAAAAUUGAUGAUCAAUUCAUUUUCACUAACGCAAUAAAAUUUAAUAUGUGAUUUCUUCCAAGAAAAUUAUACUAAAGAUAGAAUGUAAUAAAUGUAAUAAUAUAUAUAUAACUAAUAUUUUUAAAAUAUAUUAAAUCGGAUAAUUUUACGGAAUAAGGUUUUUAGUCGUUCGAUGUAUGAAUCUGUUAUAUCAAUAUAAAAUUAUAUUUUAGAUAUUAAAAAUAUAUACGAGAUAAUAUUUUGGUGCAGUAAUAUAUGUUUAAGAAACACCACUUUUAUUACUGCAGGUGUGAAGAUGAUGCGACUUUACAACUCGGGAGUAAAAGACGACGCGACAGCUCACGUCACCAUAAGUGCAUGCAUGUGGAUCACGCCAAGCAGAAGAAGACAGGCUUAAAGCAGUUCCUCCAUCACAGUGCCAUAUCGUCGCCGGAGGGCAACUCGAUCACUGUGCUGGAAACGGCGUCGUCUUCACGGCCGUGCAGUGGGUACGACACAGGGGGGAACUUGACCGUGUCGCUGCAGUUACUCUCCCUGCCGUUGGGGCAGCUGAUGAUCGAUCUCCCGUCGCUGGAGACGCAGACGCGGAUCUGGGAGAGGUAGUCGUUGUAGAUUAAAGGCCAGAGAAUGUAAUUCCUGGUGCACACCACCGUGAACGAGAACCCGAUCCUGGGCACCAACGCGUCGUUGAUGUCCUCCAGGCUGUAGCUCUUCGUCUCCGACGGGAUGAUGGCUUGAGAUCAGGAACAGAUCCAUGCGUUAGCUGCAGACACUUGUAAGCUCGAGGUCGGCAUGCAGGGCAGGGCUGCUUACCUUUGGAGCCGAGGGCAUGGAGGACGUCGGCUCGAGCCCGGAGCUGAAGCGCCCGGCCGAAGUAAUUCACCUCGCUAAGGCUGGUGCAGUUGCCGUAGGUACACCAGGCGGCCUUCCACACCUGCUUCCCGUUCUGGGCUGGGCAGCUCAAGCUGGGCCAGUAGGCGUUCAAGUCGUUCAUCAGAUCGUUAAGCUGUGGCAUGCGCAGAGUGAUCAGUGUGGGUCGGGAGCAGCGGAGAUCAUCGACUGCAUAGAUCCAAUCAGGCCUAUUACCGGGUUCAACAAGAAGCGGCAGCUGGGUUCGCAGUUGGCGACGAGCUUGCCGGUGGCGCUGUCGUAGGUCUCCAUGGUCUCCACCAGGAAGUCUGGCUCGGGGUUUUCGAUGAGCGGGUCAACGCAGCAGGUCGGCUGCCAGAACCACCCUGGCUGGCAGCGAGUCCCCGGCCACUGCAGGAGUCACGAUCCGUUAGACUUCAUUAACAGUUUACCGUACAAGAAAGGCUUUCUGUAAAGCCGAGAGAGAGAGAGAGAGAGAGGAAUAGGUACUAUGAGAGACAGGAUCAUGUAGUCGUAUGAAGCAGCUGCUAGCGCACAAGAGGCGGCGCACAAGAGGAAGCAGAACGUGGGAAGAGCCUUUGAGCCAGCCAUUCUGCAGAGGUGGAGAGGAUGAUCGGGGGAGAGACGCUUCGUGAGGUGAUGAGUCUGAUGGCUCUAUAUAAGCACUACAUUGAAGACACACCCACCUACUGAUAAUUGUUGGACUAAUAAUGCACCGCGAUUGCUGUUAGGGGGGUCUUAAAAUAAUGCACUUCGCAUAAAAUGUCGUACACCAACAUGAAACAUGAGGGACAUUCCCGCAUAUCGCAAGCAUAGUGGGUUGCAAAAUGCAAGGAAAGAAAGUAAGGAAUUUAUUUGAUUAUGGUCUCUCAUAGCUAUAAGAUUAUGGUCUCUCGUAGCUAUAUGGACUAUGUGACAUCGUCAAACCACGAUGUCACCUCCACCCUCCACCCCACCAGCCACUGGACCCUUUCCAUACAUUACAAUCAUUAAUCUUGAUGGAGGUGAACGAGAGAUAAUCAUAAGUAUUUUUCCUCUCUUCUCUUUUGUAUGACUCAUCGUAUUAGAUAUUAUCGUACGCUUCACGCACAUAUUGUUUUACUCACCUGAUCGAGCAACGAUAAUAGUGUGAUAGAAGCGAGCAAGGGAUACUCCUUCGACUAAGGGGCUUGAAAUCUAAGAGAUAGAAAAGGGAUUGAGGAUAAAGACACGAGCAAGAGAUAAUAUAAUUUUAUGACGAAUAAGAGUUAAAGAGUAAGAUGAGAAUGACUAUAUGAUGCGAAUAAAACAAAAAAGUGACAUUAGUAGAAUAAAAAGUAAAAAANNNNNNNNNNNNNNNNNNNNNNNNNNNNNNNNNNNNNNNNNNNNNNNNNNNNNNNNNNNNNNNNNNNNNNNNNNNNNNNNNNNNNNNNNNNNNNNNNNNNCGUGUUAUUAUCUAUCGGCAAACAAUUGACUUGAUAAUUGAUAAGGCAUAUAUUUAGGAUCUCGGCCACGUCGCGAUCCACGCCACGUCACACUCCUGCAGAUUCAACACAAGGGUUGCCUUCCUUCCACGUCGAGUUGGAGCUCGUAUAGGGAGGCACCCUCUCAACAAGUCCCUUCCCAGAAAGCUUGGGACGUUGUCCCAUGGCGUCGUUCCGCGCAUACCGGGUGACGAUUACACGAAGGUACGAUCUUGGGGGUAUCGAUCGUCAAGUCAAAUCCGCGUAUAAUCGAUCCUCGGACAAUAGUAUAAAAUCCCUUGACCGGCAUCUGGCUAGGAGACAAAGAACAGAAGAAAAAAAUCACUGACUUAGUCUACGAUGGGCCAAAGUCGGGAAUCUCCAGACCAGGGCGUGUGUGCAGGAACGUGGCCACCCCCGAACUAGCUCAAUCCCUCAUUGGAGAUGCGACCAUCCUGGCCGUUGAUCCAGACGCGACCAUCCCGACCCCUGAUCCAACUCGGCCUCGAUGCUUCUUCCAAUCGAUCGAGAGGCGCACUCCCGAACGUCGAAAACUCUGGACAUCGACAUGUGAACCAAAACGUGCCGACUCCUCGACCACGGCACGUAAGUUCACCAACAAAAAUAACGACGCAUUGUUGAAACAUUGAUUAUAAUCAAAGAAGAACGUUCUCAAAAUUAUUUUAAAAAAUAUUUUAUUUCUACCUAAUUAGUCAAUUAUUUAAAAUUUUUUUGAUGAUCAAUUCAUUUUCACUAACUCAGUAAAAUAUAAUAUUUGAAGAAAAUUAUACUGAAGAUAGAAUGUAAUAAAUGUAAUUAUAUAUAUAUAAUUAAUAUUUUUAAAAUAUAUUAAAUCGGAUAAUUUUACGGAAUAAGGUUUUGAGUCGUUCGAUGUAUGACUCUGUUAUAUCAAUAUAAGAUGAUAUUUUAGAUAUUAAAAAUAUAUACGAGACAACAUUUUGGUGCAGUUAUAUAUGUUUAAGAAAGACCACUUUUAUUACUGCAGGUGUGAAGAAGAUGCGACUCUACAACUCGGGAGUAAAAGACGAAGCGACAGCUCACAUCACCAUAAGUGCAAGCAUGUGGAUCACGCCAAGCAGAAGAAGACAGGCUUAAAGCAGUUCCUCCAUCACAGUGCCAUCUCGUCGCCGGAGGGCAACUCGAUCACUGUCUUGGAAACGGCGUCGUCUUCACGGCCUUGCAGUGGGUACGACACAGGGGGGAACUUGACCGUGUCGCCGCAGUUACUCUCCCUGCCGUUGGGGCAGCCGAUGAUCGACCUCCCGUCGCUGGAGACGCAGACGCGGAUCUGGUAGAGGUAGUCUUCGUAGAAGAAAGGCCAGAGAAUGUAAUUCCUGGUGCACACCACCGUGAACGAGAACCCGAUCCUGGGCACCAACGCGUCGUUGAUGUCGUCCAGGCUGUAGCUCUUCGUCGCGUGCGGUAUGAUCCCACUCGAGCCCAGGUUGACGAGGGGGUCCACCUUCUUCCUGAGUUGAAGCGCCCGGUCGAAGUAGAGCGACUGGUUGAGGCUGGAGCAAGUGCCGUAGGUGCACCACACGUCCUUCCAGUGGGGCAUCCCGCUGUUGCUGGGACAGGUCAG